AACGAACGCUGGCGGCAGGCCUAACACAUGCAAGUCGAGCGAGGACUCCGGUUCUAGCGGCGGACGGGUGAGUAACGCGUGGGAAUGUGCCCUUCUCUACGGAAUAGCCCUGGGAAACUGGGAGUAAUACCGUAUACGCCCUAUUGGGGAAAGAUUUAUCGGAGAAGGAUCAGCCCGCGUUGGAUUAGGUAGUUGGUGGGGUAAUGGCCUACCAAGCCGACGAUCCAUAGCUGGUUUGAGAGGAUGAUCAGCCACACUGGAACUAAGACACGGCCCAGACUCCUACGGGAGGCAGCAGUGGUGAAUCUUAGACAAUGGGGGCAGCGCUGAACUAGCCAUGCCGCGUGAGUGAUGAAGGCCUUAGGGUUGUAAAGCUCUUUCAGCUGGGAAGAUAAUGACGGUACCAGCAGAAGAAGCCCCGGCUAACUCCGUG
rnacentral:rRNA from 1 species